rnacentral:rRNA from 1 species
UUAGUGCUGACGAGUGGCGGACGGGUGAGUAACGCGUAGGAAUCUACCCAGUUGUGGGGGAUAGCCCGGAGAAAUCCGGAUUAAUACCGCAUACGCCCUACGGGGGAAAACAGGGGAUCUUCGGACCUUGUGCAAUUGGAUGAGCCUGCGUUAGAUUAGCUAGUUGGUGGGGUAAAGGCCUACCAAGGCGACGAUCUAUAGCUGGUCUGAGAGGAUGAUCAGCCACAUCGGGACUGAGACACGGCCCGGACUCCUACGGGAGGCAGCAGUGGGGAAUAUUGGACAAUGGGCGCAAGCCUGAUCCAGCAAUGCCGCGUGUGUGAAGAAGGCCUUCGGGUUGUAAAGCACUUUCAAUUGUGAAGAAGGGGUUCGUGUUAAUAGCACGGAUCUUUGACGUUAACUUUAGAAGAAGCACCGGCUAACUCCGUGCCAGCAGC